AGGGGUGCAGAAGAAGUCGAGCGGCUGCUGCUCAAUGGCGGAAAAUCUGCUGGUGCUGUGACCGCCUCGUUCCCCUAGCAGUUGCGGGGGAGUUUCCUGCCGGCGCGGCUGGAGUCUCUGUUUCUCAGGGUUCGGUGGUUGGAAGAUGCUCCAGAGAGACGAGGCUGCGGCGGAGGAGGUGGCGGCGGCCGAAUCGGCAACGACGCUAGGGUGGAGAGCAGGCGGCGGCGGCGGCGGUGUGAGGGGCCCGGCGGUGUAAACAGCCCCUGAGGCGGCGGAGGCGGAGGCCGAGACCCUGAGGGGGAAGCGGCGGCUGAGGCAGGGUCGCGCCUCCUUGGGAAACCUGGGCUGAGUGCGGCGGGAGACUGCGGCGGCCGCGAGCGAGACGCCUUAGAACCUCGCCUCCCUCCUUCGCCUCAGACUCCUGGCUUCUCUUCCCUGCCUUCUCCAGCACCGUCCUUUUCGGAUGUCAUUAACCGUGAAGUUCAGUACUCCAAAUCUACCAGAGGCCCAUUAAGAGUAGACCAGCUUUAAGUGCUGGUUGGUAUAGGGAUUGAACCCUGGACCUUGGUGUUACCAGUACCAUUCUUUAACCAACUGAGCUAACUGGCCAGCCCCUUCAACAGAUUUAGAUAAAUAUUUCUGAAUUGUUGCUACUCUGUUCUUUCAGAUUCAUUAGUAAACAUGGGUGCAUUUUUGGAUAAACCCAAAACUGAAAAACAUAAUGCUCAUGGUGCUGGGAAUGGUUUACGUUAUGGCCUGAGCAGUAUGCAAGGAUGGAGAGUGGAAAUGGAAGAUGCACACACAGCUGUUGUAGGUAUUCCUCACGGCUUGGAAGACUGGUCAUUUUUUGCAGUUUAUGAUGGUCAUGCUGGAUCCCGAGUGGCAAAUUACUGCUCAACACAUUUAUUAGAACACAUCACUACUAAUGAAGACUUUAGAGCAGCUGGAAAGUCAGGAUCUGCUCAUGAGCCCUCAGUGGAAAAUGUCAAGAAUGGUAUCAGAACUGGCUUUUUGAAAAUCGAUGAAUACAUGCGUAACUUUUCAGACCUCAGAAAUGGGAUGGACAGGAGUGGUUCAACUGCAGUGGGAGUUAUGAUUUCACCUAAGCAUAUCUACUUUAUCAACUGUGGUGAUUCACGUGCUGUUCUGUAUAGGAAUGGACAAGUCUGCUUUUCUACGCAGGAUCACAAACCUUGCAAUCCAAGGGAAAAGGAGCGAAUCCAAAACGCAGGAGGCAGCGUAAUGAUACAGCGCGUUAAUGGUUCAUUAGCAGUGUCUCGUGCUCUGGGGGACUAUGAUUACAAGUGUGUUGAUGGCAAGGGCCCAACAGAACAACUUGUUUCUCCAGAGCCUGAGGUUUAUGAAAUUUUAAGAGCAGAAGAGGAGGAAUUUAUCAUCUUGGCUUGUGAUGGGAUCUGGGAUGUUAUGAGUAAUGAGGAGCUCUGUGAAUUUGUUAAAUCUAGGCUUGAGGUAUCUGAUGACCUGGAAAGUGUGUGCAAUUGGGUAGUGGACACUUGUUUACAUAAGGGAAGUCGAGAUAACAUGAGUAUUGUACUAGUUUGCUUUUCAAAUGCCCCCAAGGUCUCAGAUGAAGCAGUGAAAAAAGAUUCAGAGUUGGAUAAGCACUUGGAAUCACGGGUUGAAGAAAUUAUGGAGAAGUCUGGUGAAGAAGGAAUGCCUGAUCUUGCCCAUGUCAUGCGCAUCUUGUCUGCAGAAAAUAUCCCAAAUUUGCCUCCUGGGGGAGGUCUUGCUGGCAAGCGCAAUGUUAUUGAAGCUGUUUAUAGUAGACUGAAUCCACAUAGAGAAAAUGAUGGGGCCUCCGAUGAAGCAGAGGAAAGUGGAUCACAGGGGAAAUUGGUGGAAGCUCUCAGGCAAAUGAGAAUUAAUCAUAGGGGAAACUACCGACAACUUCUGGAGGAGAUGCUGACUAGUUACAGGCUAGCUAAAGUAGAGGGAGAAGAAAGCCCUGCUGAACCAGCCGCUACAGCUGCUUCUUCGAACAGUGAUGCUGGAAACCCAGUGACAAUGCAGGAAAGCCAUACUGAAUCAAAAAGUGGUCUGGCUGAAUUAGACAGCUGUAAUGAAGAUGCAGGGACAAAGAUGAGUGGUGAAAAAAUAUGACUUUCCUUUUUGGUAAAAUUUUUGUGAUCUUUGAUUUGAUGGUUUUUACUUAGGAAGUAUAAUGUAUGCAUUUAUAUAAUCAUUUUGUUAUUUGAAUCUUGGAAAACUAGUUUUAUUAUAUUCAUAUAGCCUUGUUUUUUAAAAAGGCCUUUGCAUACACCUUUAUGAGAUAGUUUAAAAUUGAAUAUUUAUAGUACUUUGAAUUUAAUGAAAGUAUAUGUCAUUUCACAUUGUAUGCCAGUAAUUAGGCUACCAGUUACUAAAGUCAGUAGUUAAAUUCAUACUAGAUAGGAUUAGAGAUUACUGAUUAGAGAGAUUACAAUACAUUGUGGAAAACUUGUUAAUGUAGAAUUAUACUACUUCAUAUUAUUUUACAUAUUAAUUACACCCAUAGUUAGCUUUGUAAUAAGUUUGUGUUUUUCUUUAAUAAUUUUAGUUCUUCAAAGAAUGGCUAAUGCUGGCCUGUAAUUUUUCUUUCAAGGAUGAUAAUUUGUGUGUUUGAUUUGUUUAUAUUUUACAUCUCUGUAGUUUUGUUUUUAGAAGUUGUGAGAUAUUGGAUGUGUGGUUAUUUUUCCUUUCUCUGUAUUCUUGAUAAAACAAUUUUUGAAAAAGACCUGUGUAUUAUUCAUACAGCUUUGGUUUGUACAUUCUGUAUAGCCGGACAACACACAUCAAAAUGGUGCUGGAGAUCUAGAAGACCCAUGGUAGCCUUAUAAACCUUCUAAAAUGCUUUUGAUUCUGAAAAUUGGGGGAAAAAACUUUUAAUCACAAUUUUCUUCAAUACAAGGGGAAAAUAUUCUUGUGGAUUCCCAACGUUUUGUGAUAUGAGCAGAAAAUCAUUAGCAUUUACCAUCAUUUGUUCAUAUUUGUGUUUUCUGAUAAUUGCCACUUGUAGCACUGCCUGUACUACAGUAUUUUUUGCUAACCUCAGGCAUACUGGUUACAUAUGUAUUGAACUUUUGGCCCUAGAAACCAAUGAGUUAUUUCACCACAAAGCAACAAAUGUUCCUGAGGUGCAUGGGGAUAUAGUUAGCUAUACUCUGAAGAUACAUUAUGGGUUUUUUUGAUUUGUUUUUUUAAACAAAACACACAACAUAUAAGCAUGUAAAAGUAAAGAAUUGUAUGAGAUAUUCCUUUUUUCAGUUCACCAAGUUGGAAGCCUUUUGCAGGUCUGUGGCUUGGAAUGUCAGUUGAGCAAUUUAAUAUAGGAUAUGUAUUUAUUAUUAAUUGUUAUUUAAUUUUUUUCCAGUUUUACCUGUAUUACCAAACUGGGUUCUACAAUAAUGUCCAAACAGUAAUGUUGCCUUGUUUCAGGAUAAAGUGUAUUUGGCAAUAAUAUUAUAAACCCUUACAAAUUUUUAUGCAUGUAUCUACUACGUCCUUCAACUCUCACUAGAAAAUCUUUUGAAACCAAAUGAAUUUAAUUUAUGGCUAUUUAUAAUUUGCUUUGACAUCUCACUGCUGCAAAUUUUUUUAAAUGAUCAGAUUUGCCUUUAUAAAUAAUGUAAAUUGUGAUUUUUGUGUUACAUGUGGGUUUCUAUAGUUUUAAUUUUUUCAGCUUUUAAGAUACAACAAGUUUUGUGUAAUUUGGUAUAACUUUUAGUCAUUUAUGUUAUUUUAAAACUCAGAAUAUCACAUUGAAAUUACUAUAAAUACAUUUAAAAUUAUCUAUUUUAGAUCUAAGAAAAUAUUACAGAGAUAUUUUCAUGGGUUCAGUAACCUUUCAUUUUAUAAAAACAUUGGGCACGGUACAGAGUGGCUGUCACAUAAGGUACUUGAAGAUUAUUAGUUUAAUUCUAUUUUUACAAUAACCUUGAAUUCUUUUGAGUUUUGCAUGUAUUAAAUUCAAUUAAUGCUAAACAUGAAGAGUAAAGUAUUUAUCUAAAAGAAGUUAUUGGGAUAGGAGAAGUGAUGAAUGUGUCCAUUUGUACAUGGUUUACAUGUUGUGGAUGCUUUGUAAACUUUUUUUAUAUGUUAAUUGCCCUCGUGUGUAGUUAAAAUGAGGCAUCAUCUGGUCCUGUGUGAAAUGGAAUUCAUGGUAUUUUCUGUAACAUUUUCCUGAAGCUGUUUUUAGAGAGCCACACAUUUGAAUACAGACAGCUUUCCUGAUCAUUUGAUUAAUUGUGCACCUGAUUUUUGGUCUAAAAGGAAUUAUUGCCACAAUAUAUUUUAUUUAUUCUUUAGAUUUUAGCCUUGUAAGUUAAAGUGCUUUUCAUGAUGUUAAAAGCUAUUUGUCCCUUUACUGGGUUUUGAGGGUUUUGUUAAAAGAUAGGGAAUUAAGAAUGCAGAAAUGGUUUAUUGUUCAAACUGUCCACUCUGAUCCAACCCUGUACUGAUAGUACCUUUCCAGUAUGAUAUUGUGAUGUUUCAUACAAUGCAGUGAACAUAACCAACUUGUUACCUAAAUAAAGAAUUGAUAAAAACUGUG